rnacentral:rRNA from 1 species
GACGAACGCUGGCGGCGUGCCUAAUACAUGCAAGUCGAACGAGAGCGACCGGUGCUUGCACUGGUCAAUCUAGUGGCGAACGGGUGAGUAACACGUGGGUAACCUGCCCAUCAGAGGGGGAUAACAUCCGGAAACGGAUGCUAAACCGCAUAGGUCCUCGAGCCGCAUGGGUUGAAGGGGAAAAGAGGCGCCAGCCUCUGCUGGAGGAUGGACCCGCGGUGGAUUAGCUAGUUGGUGAGGUAACGGCUCACCAAGGCCGUGAUGCAUAGCCGACCUGAGAGGGUGAUCGGCCACAUUGGGACUGAGACACGGCCCAAACUCCUACGGGAGGCAGCAGUAGGGAAUCUUCCGCAAAGGACGCAAGUCUGACGGAGCAACGCCGCGUGAGUGAAGAAGGUUUUCGGAUCGUAAAACUCUGUUGUUAGAGAAGAACAAGUGCUAGAGUAACUGUUAGCGCCUUGACGGUAUCUAACCAGAAAGCCACGGCUAACUACGUG